GUUAAUGUCUGGGUAUUCAGUAUAAAGUUUCAAGUUUGUUUUAGAAACAUUCAAUAUAAUGUUUCAAAGUUUUUAAUGGUAAUAUUCAGUAUCAUCCUUCAUAGUCAUGUAUUAGUGUUUGUGGAAAUAUUCAGUACAAUAUUUCAAUAUUUUAUGUUGAACAAUAAGUAUAAUGUUUGAAUUUUGAUUUGGAAACAUUUAGUAUUAUGUUCCAAGGUUUGAUGGAAACAAGUAUGGUGUUUCAAAUUAUUUGUGGAAACAUUCAGUAAAAUGUUUCAAAGUUUUGUGGAAGAUGCAGUAUAAUGUUUAAGAGUUUUGUGGAAACAUUCAGUAUAAUGUUUCAAAGUUUUGUGGAAAUAUUUAUUAUAAUGUUUCAAAGUUUUGUGGAAACAUUCAGUAUAAUGUUCCUAGUCUUAGUGGAAACAUUCAGUAUAAUGUUUUAAAGUUUUGUGGAAGCAUUCAGUAUAAUGUUUCAAAGUUUUGUGGAAGCAUUCAGUAUAAUGUUUUAAAGUUUUUGUGGAAACAUUUAGUGUAAUGUUUCAAAGUUUUGGUGGAAGCAUUCAGUAUAAUGUUUCUUAUCUUAGUGGAAACAUUCAGUACAAUGUUUCAAAGUUUUGUGGAAACAUUCAGUAUAAUGUUUCAAAGUUUUGUGGAAACAUUCAGUAUAAUGUUUCAAAGUUUUGUGGAAACAUUCAGUAUAAUGUUUCAAAUUUGUUUUGGAAACAUUCAGUAUAAUGUUUCAAAUUCUUUUGGAAACAUUCAGUAUAAUGUUUCAAGUUUUUUGUGGGAAAAGUUCAGUAUAAUGUUUCAUAGUGUUUGUGGAAACCUUCAGUAUAAUGUUUUCAAGUUUUUGAAAAAACAUUCUGUCUAUACUAUUUUAUACCUUUGUGGAAACAUUCUGAACAAUGGUUUA